rnacentral:rRNA from 1 species
UGCGCAGGCGGACCUAUUAGUCAGUGGUGAAAUCCCGGGGCUCAACUCCGGAACUGCCAUUGAUACUGUAGGUCUUGAGUUUGGUUGAAGUGGGCGGAAUGUAGCAUGUAGCGGUGAAAUGCAUAGAUAUGCUACAGAACACCGAUCGCGAAGGCAGCUCACUAAACCAAAACUGACGCUCAGGCACGAAAGCGUGGGUAGCAAACAGGAUUAGAUACCCUGGUAGUC